rnacentral:misc_RNA from 1 species
UCCGAGUUAACCCCGGCAGUCUCCCGCGAGUCCCCAACAUUACUUGCUGGCAACACGGGAUAAGGGUUGCGCUCGUUGCGGGACUUAACCCAACAUCUCACGACACGAGCUGACGACAGCCAUGCACCACCUGUCACCCAGUCCGAAGAGGGCCCCAUCUCUGAGGCUUUCCGGGUGAUGUCAAGCCCAGGUAAGGUUCCUCGCGUAUCAUCGAAUUAAACCACAUGCUCCUCCGCUUGUGCGGGCCCCCGUCAAUCCCUUUGAGUUUCAACCUUGCGGCCGUACUCCCCAGGUGGAUUACUUAACGCUUUCGCUUUGCCGCUGACUGUAUAUCGCCAACAGCUAGUAAUCAUCGUUUACAGCGUGGACUAC